UACGGGGGGGGCAAGCGUUGUUCGGAAUUACUGGGCGUAAAGGGCUCGUAGGUGGCCAACUAAGUCAGACGUGAAAUCCCUCGGCUUAACCGGGGAACUGCGUCUGAUACUGGAUGGCUUGAGGUUGGGAGAGGGAUGCGGAAUUCCAGGUGUAGCGGUGAAAUGCGUAGAUAUCUGGAGGAACACCGGUGGCGAAGGCGACAUCCUGGACCGGUAUUGACGCUGAGUGAGCGAAAGCCAGGGGAGCAAACGGG
rnacentral:rRNA from 1 species